AAUACAAAGUAACAUCAUUCAAUCCUCAAACCAAAUGAUUUCACAAAGUUCAUUUUCUGGUUCCAACCGAUCUCCAGAAGAAAAGUUCAUUUUGGGUCAUCCAGUCAUGAAAAUCAAAGACAUCAUCAAGCUUCCAAAGGACAAAAUAUGUGUCAUUGUUGGAACAACCUCACAUAUCUGAGUUUCUGCCAACGGUUGGUACUUUCCUGGUUACAAAGACUGUAUUAAACAAUGAUAUGGAUCCACACCACCAUUUAAAUGUAAGGAUGGUCACCCAACCGACGAUCCAAUUCUAAGAUAUAAGAUCGAUAUUCAGAUCUUCGAUGGCGAUGAUUCAGCAAAAUUUAUCUUUUGGGAUAGUACUUGUAUUGAUCUAUUGGGUAAAACAUCGUCGCAGCUGAGGCAACAGAUGCUUGAUGAUAUCAUUAAAGAUGACAAUGAAAAGCUGAAUGGGCUGAGAAAAGAAGUGGGUGAAAACGUUUAUAAAUGCAGUGGUGGUAGCUUUAACGGAGAUUAAUGAAUAUAAUCUUAGUGGUCGAUAUGUAACCUAGGAAUUAUGUGAACUACAAAGCGGGAAGGAGAGCAACUUUGCAAGGAGUGCAGUUUUUGUUGAACCAUUGGAAACGCAAGAAAGCAAUGUUCUCGUGUGAACAUUAUAGCUAGAAAAAUUUGGAAAAGAAAUCGAAGACGGACCGUUAUAUAAUUCUAAUUACUAUAUGUUUAAGCACUAUUUUAAUUAAAAUUAU